AUGGACACCAAUCCAUGUCCGCCAAAUGGUGACAAAGAAAAGAGAGAAAACAUGGAGAAAAGAAAACAGGAGUUGCUAACUACCAUUGAGAAGCAGGAUGAUAAAGUACAUCAACUUCAAACGAGCGCCUUCAACCUUGCAAACUACUACUUCGUCUUUCAAGGACUUAUUUUGGGGCCUAUCGUCACUGCGACCACAGCGCUCAGAUGCUCAGAUCGCUGGUUCCUUUUCAGCCUCUCUCUGAUAGCAGCCAUACUCAACUUGGUUUCAUUGCUUGUAAUUGGAAGCAAAUAUAAAAAAGGCGUUAUGCAGAGACACCAAACCAAGAGUGAGCUCAUUGAAUUAGAAAGUGAUCUGAGCAAGCUAGAAACUUCACCUUCAGAUCAACGGCUGAAGGCUAAAAUAUUAUCGUACUGGGAUACGACGAAAAUUCAACAUCCUAUGACUGUAGGAAAUAAGGAUGAAUCGGAACUAAGGCGGAGGGUCAUGCCUGUUGUUACAAAUUAUCUACGUGAGUUUUACUAUGUAAUUUGCAUGGGUCUGUUUAUAAGCUUUGCCGUCAUCGUGAUUGUGGGUUGCUGGACCAUUCCUUGCAAGAAAGCUCUUCAAUGCACACCCCCGAUAUCCGACAUCAACACUGGUAAAUGCAUUAGGGUUUGUGAAGGCGCCAAGUGUAUGAGCAUCUGCACCCAAUUCUAG
rnacentral:lncRNA from 1 species